rnacentral:rRNA from 1 species
GACGUAGGGUGCAAGCGUUGUCCGGAAUUAUUGGGCGUAAAGAGCUCGUAGGCGGUUUGUUGCGUCGGCUGUGAAAUCCCGAGGCUCAACCUCGGGUCUGCAGUCGAUACGAGCAAACUAGAGUGUUGCAGGGGAGACUGGAAUUCCUGGUGUAGCGGUGAAAUGCGCAGAUAUCAGGAGGAACACCGGUGGCGAAGGCGGCUCUCUGGACCACAACUGACGCUGAGGCGCGAAAGCUAGGGGAGCAAACAGG